rnacentral:rRNA from 1 species
AACGAACGCUGGCGGCAUGCCUAACACAUGCAAGUCGAACGAGACCUUCGGGUCUAGUGGCGCACGGGUGCGUAACGCGUGGGAACCUGCCCUUAGGUUCGGAAUAACUCCCCGAAAGGGGUGCUAAUACCGGAUAAUGUCUUCGGACCAAAGAUUUAUCGCCUUUGGAUGGGCCCGCGUUGGAUUAGCUAGUUGGUAGGGUAAAAGCCUACCACGGCGACGAUCCAUAGCUGGUCUGAGAGGAUGAUCAGCGACACUGGGACUGAGACACGGCCCAGACUCCUACGGGAGGCAGCAGUGGGGAAUAUUGGACAAUGGGCGAAAGCCUGAAGCAGCAAUGCCGCGUGAGUGAUGAAGGCCUUAGGGUUGUAAAGCUCUUUUACCCGGGAUGAUAAUGACGGUACCGGGAGAAUAAGCACCGGCUAACUCCGUG